rnacentral:rRNA from 1 species
CGAUAGCGUAUAUUUAAGUUGUUGCAGUUAAAAAGCUCGUAGUUGGAUUUCUGGUGGGAGCGAUCGGUCUGGCGCUUAGCGCGAGUACUUGCAUCGUCUCCGGCCAUCCUUGGGGAGAGUCUGUCUGGCAUUAAGUUGUCGGGCAGAGGAUCCUCAUCGUUUACUGUGAAAAAAUUAGAGUGUUCAAAGCAGGCUUAUGCCGUUGAAUAUAUUAGCAUGGAAUAAUAAGAUAGGACUUUGGUACUAUUUUGUUGGUUUGCGCACCAAAGUAAUGAUUAAUAGGGACAGUUGGGGGUAUUCGUAUUCCGUUGUCAGAGGUGAAAUUCUUGGAUUUACGGAAGACGAACUACUGCGAAAGCAUUUACCAAGGAUGUUUUCAUUAA